AGGUUAAAGCAAUACAUAUCACCCUAAUGACAAAAUAAUACAGCAUUAAGCUAUUAUCUUAUGAUAUCUAUUUAGGUCUAUAGUCAUUUCUGCUGUGCUUUAUAUUUUCAGUAACAUAAAAUCAGGUGCAGAUCCUUGUCUUUCAUCAUUUUGUGAACACAUGAGGCAACCUUAAGUAUGAACUUGGAUUCUUGUGAGAAGGGAAUGCAUGUUUUUCUUUUUUUUCUUCUUUUUUUAACAGUGUGUCUAAAAUUCAACAUACCAGAAAGCAGAAAGCCAGACAUUAAGGUGUAUGACCAGUCUGACACAGAAGUUGACUCAGAUGUUUUUGAAGAAUUAGUAAAGGAGUCACCUGGAACUUUCAGAAUCAUGCUGGGCAAUGGACUUGAUACCUCUCAUUCAUCAUCAUGCUCGGGUACAUCUGAUGACACCAUCAUUUUGAAUUUCACUGUGUGUGACGAUGUUGAAGAAGUAGCGGCUGGCGAAGGAAGCCAGCCUAAAAGGCCAUGCCACAUAAACUAUGAGGCAAAAGCACUGAUUGAAAAAAUCCUAACAUCAAAGCCUGGUGGUGAACGCAUUAUGCAAGAGUAUGGAAAAACCAAAUCUCUGACAGAUGCCACCAGAAGACAGAUGAUCAACAUACUUGUUGCUGAGAUGACAGAAACACAUGGGACAUCCCCCCCCAAAAGUGUCAGAGUGAUGUAUGCACAGGGGAUAGUAGCUUUGUUUCCCUAUCUAGAAGACCCAUACUCACAACAUGGAUAUGAUCAUUACUACGAUCCGGAGAGUGGUUC